rnacentral:rRNA from 1 species
AAUUAAAAAAUUAAUAAAAUAUUUUUAAUAAAAAAAUUUUUAAAAAAAAUAUUAAUUAUAGUAUAUAUUAUAGAAAUAAUUAAAAAUUUUAUAGUGAAUAAGUAAUGUAAAAGAAUUUUGAAAUAAUUGAAAAUUUAUUUUAAAAAAAGUAAAUUUAAUUUAUUGUAUCUUGUGUAUCAGAGUUUAUAAAAAAAAAUUUUUCAUAAAAAAAAAUUUCUCGAAUUAAAAAGAGUUAUUAAAUUAUAAAAUUUAUUGUUUCAUAAAUAUUUUUAAUAAUUUAAUUGAAAUGAAAUGUUAAUCGUUUUUUAAGAUAUCUAGUUUCUUUAGAAAUAAAUUAAAUUUAUAAUUUUAAAAAUUAAAUAAUUUUUUAAAAAAUUAUUUAAUUUAAAAUUUAAAAAUUUUAAGGGAUAAGCUUUAAAAUAAAAUUUUAUAAAUAUUUUUUAUUAAUAUUAAGAAUUUUAUAAUUUAAAUUUUUAAAUAAAAUAUAAUUUGUUAUAAAUAAUUUUAAAAAUUAAAAAAAAUUUAAAUUUUUUUUUUUAGAUAAUUAUAUAAAGAAAAAAAAAAUAAUUAAAUAUUUUUUAUUAUAAUGAUAAAAUUAGUAUAAAUAUAAAUUAAUUAAAUUAUAAAAAUUUUUAUAAUUAAUUAAAAAGAAUUCGGCAAAUAAAAAUAAAUUAUAUUCACCUGUUUAUCAAAAACAUGUCUUUUUGAUUAAUAAUUUAAAGUCUAAUCUGCCCACUGAUUAUAUUAAAGGGCUGCAGUAUUUUGACUGUACAAAGGUAGCAUAAUCAUUAGUCUCUUAAUUAGUGACUUGUAUGAAUGAUUGAAUGAAAUAUAAGCUGUUUCUUAAUUAUUAAUAGAAUUUAAUUUUUUUAUUAAAAAGUAAAAAUAAAUUUAAAAGACGAGAAGACCCCAUAGAGUUUAAUAUUAUUUAUUAAUUAAAAAUUAUUUUUUAUAUAAUAAUUAAAAUUAUAAAUAUUAUUUUAUUGGGGUGAUAAAAAAAUUAAAAUAACUUUUUUAUAAAAUUUCCAUUGAUAAAUGAAUAUAUGAUCCAUUAUUAAUGAUUAAAAGAAAAAAUUACCUUGGGGAUAACAGCGUAAUUUUUUUUUUUAGUUCUUAUAAAAAAAAGAGUUUGCGACCUCGAUGUUGGAUUAAGAUAAAAUUUAAAUGCAAAAGUUUAAAAUUUUGAUCUGUUCGAUCAUUAAAAUCUUACAUGAUCUGAGUUCAAACCGGUGUGAGCCAGGUUGGUUUCUAUCUUUAAAUUAAUAAAAUAUUUUAGUACGAAAGGAUUGAAUAUUUAAAAUAAUUUUAAAUUAUUGAAUUUUAUUAAAUAAAUUAUAAAUAUAUUUUUAUAAAAAAAAAAUAAAUAUUAUAUAUAUAUAUAUAUAUAAUAUAUAUAUAUAUAUAU